rnacentral:rRNA from 1 species
GUAGUCCACGCGGUAAACGAUGAGUGCUAGGUGUCGGGGAUAAAUCCCCGGUGCCGCAGUAAACACAAUAAGCACUCCACCUGGGGAGUACGGUCGCAAGACUGAAACUCAAAGGAAUUGACGGGGGCCCGCACAAGCGGUGGAGCAUGUGGUUUAAUUCGAAGCAACGCGAAGAACCUUACCAAGGUUUGACAUCCUCUUGACCGGAUUAGAGAUAAUCCCUCCCUUCGGGGCAAGAGAGACAGGUGGUGCAUGGUUGUCGUCAGCUCGUGUCGUGAGAUGUUGGGUUAAGUCCCGCAACGAGCGCAACCCUUAUGGUUAGUAGCUAACAGUUAAAGCUGAGCACUCUAGUCAGACUGCCGUGGAGAACACGGA